GCCUGUAUUCUGAGAUAGCUCAGACGGUAGAACACGAGACUCUUAAUCUCAAGGUUGUGGGUUCGAGCCCCAUGUUGGGCA